UUACAAAGCAUUUAAAAAAAAAUAAGUUAACAAAAUAUUUAUGGGACUUUUUUCAUUCAAUCGUUAAUAGGUAAAGACAUAUCAAAAAAUAAAAAUACAUAUCAAAUAAAAAAAAUCGUUUUCUUUCUACAUCAAAUUGAUAAGACAAAAAAUUAUUUUUUUUUUACAUUAAAUUGAUAAAAAAAAGA